AGUGAACGCUGGCGAUAGGCCUAACACAUGCAAGUCGAACGGCAGCACAGUAAGAGCUUGCUCUUACGGGUGGCGAGUGGCGGACGGGUGAGGAAUACAUCGGAAUCUACUUUUUCGUGGGGGAUAACGUAGGGAAACUUACGCUAAUACCGCAUACGACCUACGGGUGAAAGCAGGGGAUCUUCGGACCUUGCGCGAUUGAAUGAGCCGAUGUCGGAUUAGCUAGUUGGCGGGGUAAAGGCCCACCAAGGCGACGAUCCGUAGCUGGUCUGAGAGGAUGAUCAGCCAAACUGGAACUGAGACACGGUCCAGACUCCUACGGGAGGCAGCAGUGGGGAAUAUUGGACAAUGGGCGCAAGCCUGAUCCAGCCAUACCGCGUGGGUGAAGAAGGCCUUCGGGUUGUAAAGCCCUUUUGUUGGGAAAGAAAAGCAGCAGGUUAAUACCCCGCUGUUCUGACGGUACCCAAAGAAUAAGCACCGGCUAACUUCGUG
rnacentral:rRNA from 1 species